rnacentral:pre_miRNA from 1 species
CAGUUACUCCCUCCGUUCGGAAUUACUUGUCUCGGAUAUGGAUGUAUCUAGAACUAAAAUACGUCUAGAUACAUCUAUUUCUGUGACAAGUAAUUUCGAACGGAGGGAGUAGCUG